UACGGGGGGGGCAAGCGUUGUUCGGAAUUACUGGGCGUAAAGGGCUCGUAGGCGGCCAACUAAGUCAGACGUGAAAUCCCUCAGCUUAACUGGGGAACUGCGUCUGAUACUGGAUGGCUUGGAUUCGGGAGAGGGAUGCGGAAUUCCAGGUGUAGCGGUGAAAUGCGUAGAUAUCGUGAGGAAGACCAGUGGCGAAGGCGGGUCUCUGGACAGUUCCUGACGCUGAGGCGCGAAGGCCAGGGGAGCAAACGGG
rnacentral:rRNA from 1 species